ensembl:misc_RNA Metazoa_SRP Metazoan signal recognition particle RNA
GCUGGGCACGGCGGCGUGUGCCUGUAAUCCCAGCUACUCGGGAGGCUGAGGCAGGAGAAUUGCUUGAACUCGGGAGGCAGAGGUUGCAGUGAGCCAAGAUCAUGCCACUGCACUCCAUCCUGGGCGACAGAGCAAGACUCUGCCUCAA